UGGGGAAUAUUGCACAAUGGGCGCAAGCCUGAUGCAGCCAUGCCGCGUGUAUGAAGAAGGCCUUCGGGUUGUAAAGUACUCUCUGCGGGGAGGAAGGGAGUAAAGUUAAUACCUUUGCUCAUUGACGUUACCCGCAGAAGAAGCACCGGCUAACUCCGUGCCAGCAGCCGCGGUAAUACGGAGGGUGCAAGCGUUAAUCGGAAUUACUGGGCGUAAAGCGCACGCAGGCGGUUUGUUAAGUCAGAUGUGAAAUCCCCGGGCUCAACCUGGGAACUGCAUCUGAUACUGGCAAGCUUGAGUCUCGUAGAGGGGGGUAGAAUUCAAGGUGUAGCGGUGAAAUGCGUAGAGAUCUGGAGGAAUACCGGUGGCGAAGGCGGCCCCCUGGACGAAGACUGACGCUCAGGUGCGAAAGAGUGGGGAGCAAACAGG
rnacentral:rRNA from 1 species